rnacentral:rRNA from 1 species
UUAAUUGACCAUAUCACGUAGAAAGCACCGGUUCUCUUCCAAUCACAGAAGUUAAACUACGUUGGGCCGGGCCAAUACUUGCAUGGGAAUACCCGGUGUUGCUGACU